GGGGAAUAUUGGACAAUGGGCGCAAGCCUGAUCCAGCCAUGCCGCGUGUGUGAUGAAGGCCUUAGGGUUGUAAAGCACUUUCGCCGGUGAAGAUAAUGACGGUAACCGGAGAAGAAGCCCCGGCUAACUUCGUGCCAGCAGCCGCGGUAAUACGAAGGGGGCUAGCGUUGCUCGGAAUCACUGGGCGUAAAGCGCACGUAGGCGGAUCGUUAAGUCAGGGGUGAAAUCCUGGAGCUCAACUCCAGAACUGCCCUUGAUACUGGCGAUCUCGAGUUCGAGAGAGGUUGGUGGAACUCCGAGUGUAGAGGUGAAAUUCGUAGAUAUUCGGAAGAACACCAGUGGCGAAGGCGGCCAACUGGCUCGAUACUGACGCUGAGGUGCGAAAGCGUGGGGAGCAAAC
rnacentral:rRNA from 1 species